UACCCCCGUGCCCGCGGUGCGUGCUCGGAGGUCAGGUGCAGGAGCAACUUCCCCAGCAGAAGUACGCAUGCGCCUCAGUAUGUAAUCUUUCCUCGGAGGUUAACGUCCAAGUACCCAUUGACAGCAAAUUGUCGACAGAAAAAGUGAGAAUACUUUAUAUUAAUGUACGCGGAAUAAGUUUGCGGAAUAUUCAGUGGAUGUAUUUACGUUGUACUUUUUUCCUCCUGGACUCAAAGUUAGUUUUGUGGCUUAACUAGACUGAAACCUAAUUCGUGGGAGCUAGUUCCGCCUUGUGCUCCCUGUGGGUCAUGGACAGCAGCGACGAGUGUCAGGAGUAACCAGGACACCGGUGGGAAACGCGCCUCCGGGUUUUGAGGGUCCAUCUCUACACACUUAAAGUACGUACUAGAAAGGGUAUUAACGGCAGAGUUUUGGACACUGUAAUGGAAAAACCUGAAGCACCAUGAGGAGGCGGGGCAGGGUGCCAAAAGCGCUUUAGUAAUAAGAGGGCCUCACUGAGGACAGCUUAGGGAACUCAUCUCUGCUUGCACGUGUGGCCAAGCAGUAAAAAUAAACUGGACUUCUUCUUGAGCUCUGUGUGAAAUGGGACCUUUCUGAUCUAAACACAGUUGUUAGGCAGCUCACAGAUCCAGGUUUGGGCUUUGUUGAGAGGAGCCUGUUGAAAUGUCUGCCUGCUACUCCUCUUUAAAUAGAGCAAACAGGUUUCCAGCCAUGGAAACAUAAAUUACACAAUAAAAGCC